UGUAUGUGUUGAUGUAGUAACUAACUUCUAGCUUUUUUUAUAUAUGUGUUGUGCCUGUUUAUGUUAUUCUACAUAAGUGGUCAGAGGAAGGCAGGCAGGAGUGGCUUUCAUCAGGUUGGGAAACGUCUUAGACUUGCAAAGGUGGGACUGUUAAGCUCGAGAGGAAUAAUUCUAGCACAAUCCGAAAGUUGGAGAAAGUUGUUGAUUCUGAAACUUCGUCAUCUGCAAAAAGAAGCAA
rnacentral:lncRNA from 1 species